UACGUAGGUGGCAAGCGUUGUCCGGAAUUAUUUGGCGUAAAGCGCGCGCAGGCGGUCCUUUAAGUCUGAUGUGAAAGCUCACGGCUCAACCGUGGAGGGUCAUUGGAAACUGGGGGACUUGAGUGCAGAAGAGGAGAGUGGAAUUCCACGUGUAGCGGUGAAAUGCGUAGAGAUGUGGAGGAACACCAGUGGCGAAGGCGACUCUCUGGUCUGUAACUGACGCUGAGGCGCGAAAGCGUGGGUAGCAAACAGG
rnacentral:rRNA from 1 species